CUCAAGAUAAAGAAGCUAUAACUAGGUCAGGUCAGUUCAUUUCCUCUUUUAUUUAUGUAUUUCCCACCUGCUCUGGAAAGGUCUCGAGGUAGCAACUUGUCCUCCCAGCAGAGUGAUGGGUGGCGUGAAGCCUCUCUCAGAAAACACAGAUCUAAGAAGUUCCUGUCAAGGCUCAGUGGAAAUGAACCUGACUAGUACCCAUGAGGAUGCAGGUCUGACUCCUGGCCUUGCUCAGUGGGUUAAGGAUCGAUGUUGCCGUGAGCUGUGGUAUAGGUCGCAGACGCAGCUUGGAUGCCGAGUUGCUGUGGCUGUGGCCAGCAGCUAUAGCCCCGAUUGGACCCUUAGCCUGGGAACCUCCAUAUGCAGCAGCUGCUGGCCACAGCCACAGCCACCGCAACCCAGGAGCCAAGCCAAGUCUGCGACCUACACCACAGCUCAUGGAAACCCCGCAUCCCCAACCCACUGAGUGAAGCCAGGGAUCAAACCCGCAACCUCGUGGUUACUAGUCUGAUUCGGGAUCACAAUGGGAACUCCAGCAUGAUACUUGUCAUUCAAGAAAAAGGUACAUUCAUACUCACCGCCAAUGUUUACAGGGCACCCACUCUAGUCAAGCCCUAGCCUUGGGGAGGAGGGAGCACGGAAGGGAACAAAACCAAGAAAAAAUAAAUCCCUGUCCUAAUGAGGUGUCUUUCUACACAGUCAAUUUUUGAGUCCAAAGGCAAAACAUAUUUUGGAUUUAACCUGAUUCUCCUGAAGUGAGAGACCAAUUUGACACAAAUCACAACCCAGUGUCAAAAGCAGGUUUGCUCCCCCUCCCUAACUAACAAAUUCUCCUAAAAACGGCAUUCAGGGGGAUUUUGCCACACUCAUGGCAGAGAAGGAGUUAAUUUUCUGGUUCUCUAAAUGUUUGAUGAUGCCUCAAAAAUCAUAAAUAAAUAUAUCCCCAAUAUGUAGGUGUACUUGUUUAUAAACUACAGAUAUGCGCAAAUAUUUUCUGAAUAUUAUAAUACACACAAGUAUGAAUUUUUUUAAAAAAGCUAAAAAAAAAAACCUAUGGAAGUUCUAAUACAUCCACCUGUACCCAGUGGAUGGUCUACCCCACCCGGGGCAUAUGCACCCCAUUUUGGAGGCUACCCCUCAACCUCCUAAGCAGUGCCGCUGCCUCUCUGCCACUUGCUUGGCUAGAGUCCCUGUCAGUUCCUGACUUGGGGCAGAGUAAAUAUGAGGGCUAACUGGGACACCUGCCAUAGCCCGCCACGUGCAGGACGUGGGGUAACAAACCCCGCACACAGACUUUCCAUCCAGGGGGAGACAAAAAUACUCAGCACGGCCCCAUGAUGGAAAGAAGUGUGCUGGGGAGGGCAGGACAGCACCGGUCACAGGUCACCUCAACCUGGCCCAGCUCAGAAGGCAAGCGGACUGGCUCAGCUGUUCUGGACACCCCACCCCACCCCGCAGGAUAAAGGGAGGGCUCAUGGGAUACAGUCUGUCCCCAGAACAGCCCCUGCCUGCACUCAGAAGAGGCCUUGGAGUCCUCAGCCUUGACCUCUGACUCAUGUCAGAAGGGGGAAGGCAGUCUGGCACCACCAAGGGCACCCAGCCUGUUCCAGGCACUGGGCACACUCUCUGCCCCUCGGGGCCCUCCUCUGAGAGGUGGUUGGUUGGAUUGCUUGACAGGUGAGGUCCCUGCCCACUGCUCAGUCUGAGGCAUGUGGGAAGUUUGCCUGAGGCACAAGGCAAGUAACUGUCCUACAAAAGGAACCAUGGCUAGGUGAUCAUUUCACCCAUGGCAUAGAAUCAAGGUAGGAUUUUAGGUAGGAGUACCAGGUAAACAUAGGCAGCAGUGCAGUUAUGCAAGAGUAUCUGAAACUCGACACUGAUCUCCUUCCUGUGAAGCCUACAGCCACCUGCAGCUCCAACAGAACGAACUGCCCUGGGAGAGAACUUGGAUGCCCUCAUGCACGCCAAGUUCUACCCUGGGAAAGCAGAGGCUUUGGUCUGGAGAUUGUCAAUGCCUUGAUCCCGGCUAUAAGAUCUAAGCAUUGUAUGGGAUCAUAACAUACAGACCGAGAACUAUGAAAAGUACAUUCUUGUGACAUCUGCUAUGGGACAUCUGUCCAUCUGACUGUCCCCUGGCUCAAUUCAUCAUCAGAUAAUAUUUAAGUGCUUAGCAGCAGUGAGACCCUAUGCUCAUUGCUGCUGAAAAUGCAGAAAUGACAAUGACUAGGUCUAAAAGCACAGAGCUCAGAGUGCGGCUGGGGGCCUUUCUGGGGAAGCAAGACACACAGACACACAGAGGUGAGUGAAGGGCAGGGGCAGGGUGUCAGUCAAAAAACCGAGAAACUAGUAGAGCCAGACACUAACCAACUGGAAAAGAAGAGGCUGACCAUCAGAACAGGGUUCAAGAGAGCCUCUGGUGGGCCAGGAGUUAACCUUUCAGUUUCUGAAUCAUGGUUGGGGUGCCUGGGGUAGCAGCUACUUUCCAAGCAGAAUGAAUAUUUUCAGCGAGGAUUCCAGUGAGUGAUGUGGAGUCUGAGGAAGGCGAGGGUCACUCCAGAAAAAGCACCUCUGAGGAACGAGGGUGGGAAGAGGAAUGUCACUGCAGACAGAUGGGGGUGGGCAUGCAGGCCUGGGAGGCUUGUCCAGGACACAGGAGGUGGGCUGGGCAGAAGGGAGCGCUCACUACAGAGUCACAGGUAUAAACCUUGACACAGCUUUCCAAAAACCCCAGCAUGUGGUGGUUCCGAAGACGCCUGGGAACCAGACUCUUGCUCAUGACGGCCAAGCUAUGCCAAGACCUGGGAUCUUCCAGAGGGAAUCUGGAGGGCUUCCAGGAAGAGGAGGGAUUUGAUCAGAACUCUACAUUAGGAACAGCCGUGCCUGUCCUCCUCUUUUUUUAACUAAAGGCCUCUGUUGUCUGAACUAGAGGUGACAGACUCUGGAUGAGGGCAGUGACUCGGAAGGUGAAAGGAAGAAAUGGUGCAUGCUGGACAGUGUGGUACAGAGAGUAAGUCAGAAUAACCUGAGUCUCCUGACUGACUGGAUCUCAGGGCACAAGUCCAGGAUGACACCGAGGUCUAUCCAUUCCUCCAAUAGGCACAAGGCCCAGGAACAAAAUCCACUGUGUGUCCCAGCCUGAGCGGACACAGACUGUGUAUCCUUGGAAAGUUACCCCCUUUCCUGCACCCUGUAAACGCAGGGCUGAUGAGGGUGUGAGGCUCUCAGUGAUCUGGGGAGCCUGGGGCUGUGCUCCAGUGUCUCAGAGACAUCUCCUCUCUGUGUGGUCUGGGAUUCCCCCCGCCCCACUGCUUCUAACAGGGCAGCCCUGCUUCUAUUUACUUCAUAUAUCAGGGUUCUGCCUAAAACUGUCCUGGCAAAAAGGGGCCAUGACCACUGGGCGAUACCUCUGUGCCUUCAAACUCUGCAAACCAACAAUUCUAUUAUCCUGUCUUAUUAAAUGUUUUCAGGAGUUCCUGCUAUGGCACAUUAAGUUAAGGAUCUGGUGCUGCUGCAGCUGUGGUAUAUGCUUGAAGCUACAGCUCGGAUUUGAUCCCGGGCCCAGGCCGGGAACUUCUGUAUGCUGUGCGUGCAGCCAUAAAAACAACAGCAAGAAAGUGCUUAGCACAAGCUAGAACAAGACCAGCUUCCUGGGCUGGCAAAGCCCCUUACUCUUUAACUCUCCAGACAGUCACAGCUAUGUGGCAGAUGAUCUUAUCACUUGUUAAAUGUAGCUAAAUCAAAAUCUGUUGUUGUUUCAGCAUGCUGGUGGUAAAGUGGGUAUGUAAGGAGACAGGGGACGAUCCAGGAGCAGUGACACCAAACCAGCUCUGUCCUCAGUCUCGCCACCAGCUGGAUAAAUGGAACUCCCCCGAACCUUGAACUGAGAACCCUUCGAGUUCUAGAAGUAGAGCCAAGCCAUGAGGCACUCUGGCCCUGAAGCCAGACGGCCUGGGUUCAAAUCCUAGUUUGGGUGACUUAACUUCUACAACUGUUCCUUACCUUCUGUAAAACACGGAUAAAAGUGGGACCUACCACACAGGGAGGUUGGGAAAAUUAACUGGUUUAAGGGAUGUGAAGCCCUGAGAACAGACCCUGGCGCUAUGGGCUGUCAUCAUUGCCUGUCACGUCCUGUGUCUCCCAGGCGGGCCACUAGUGGCCACCAGGGCAGUCAGCUGACCCUGCCCUGCUCCAGAGCUGAUGCUGAGUCUCCAGGAAGAAACCAGCCCCUAUAGCCACUUUUUCUUUACUCUGGUUAAUAAAAGAAUCAAUGGAACUCAGGACAUUUUGGCUUUAUAUAUAUGGACAUUUUCUCCACCACAAACCUGUGGGGAAAAUGCCAAUUUCUAUAGCAGCCAAAUAACUGUGCAAAUGGACAGAUAAUACACUUAUCAGAAGUCCCUCCCCGAAUGAGGAAACGGUAUAAAAGGCAACCCACAUUUCCUCCUGUGACGCCCUUACUUCUUUCCAUUUAUCUUUCCAAAGCAUGAAAUCCUUAUUUCAACAGCUUUUGACUAGAACACAUGAACCACAAAGUCCAUUAAAGCCACUCAUUAAUAAAAAUAAUUUCCAAGUCAUUGCCAGCUUCAACAGUUUUAAAGCAGAGCAUGCCCUAACUUAAAUACAUACAUACAUACAUAUAUAUAUAUUUAUUCAUAAAAUGAAAUAUAUAAGAAGUUUGGUGAACUGUUCUUAAAUAGUUAUUUCCAAAUACACAACAAUACACAAACUAUGGUAUAGUUCAUAAACCACCCAAGGCAGUCUGCUUCAAAACGAAUUUUUCGGAGUUCUCAUUGUGGCACAAUGGAAACGAAUCUGACUAGUAUCCAUGAGUAUAUGGGUUCCAUCCCUGGCCUCGCUCAGUGAGUUGGGGAUGCGGCGUUUCUGUGAGCUGUGAUGUAGGCCGGCAGUUAUGGCUUCGAUUGGACCCCUAGCCUGGGAACUUCCAUAUACCACAGGUGUGGCCCUAAAAAGAAAAAAAGAAAACAAAAAA
ensembl:lncRNA